CACACUGCUGGUUAAAGCUGGAUUCUGGGCUGAGAGGUGUAUGUGGAUGCUCUGAUGGCUAUUAUUAACUCUGAAAACAUCCAUACUAUGGUUUGGGUUGCCCUCAAGAGGCUUGAUCUCAAUGAUAACAGGGUCACAGCUCUCCAAGAGGUUCACAUUCCAAGUGAAGCCAAAGUACCCAGCGUAAGACAAAUACUAGCUCAUUCUUUCAGGCUUGACACUUCUCAGAUAAUACUUAAGAUACGAAACAAUCCAGGAUGUCUAAUUCCAUUAAAUUGCUGCAUGCCACCAAACAGCAAGCAAAUGCCAUACGUCCUUGAAGUGGCCAAAAACUACCAGCACGUCAAUCCAAGACCCAGAAGUAUUGCCGUGACUGUUAUUAAUAAAACCUUGAAGUCGAGACUACAGAGCAUUGUGAAAAGGAUGGAAAGAUUAGAAGAACUGUUGCCUCAAAUCAAGCUAAAACACCAUGAAAAUAUGACAAAGGACACUGAGUUACUGAAUCAAAAGCUGGUAUUUCUUCACAAACGAAUGCAGAUGGCUGAGUCGUAUUGCUGGGAGGGGAUGCUGAGAAGAGCUCCACUGUGGUGA
ensembl:lncRNA